rnacentral:rRNA from 1 species
UACGUAGGUGGCAAGCGUUGUCCGGAUUUACUGGGCGUAAAGGGCGCGUAGGCGGCGUGACAAGUCACUUGUGAAAUCUCCGGGCUUAACCCGGAGCGGCCAAGUGAUACUGUCGUGCUAGAGUGCAGAAGGGGCAACUGGAAUUCUCGGUGUAGCGGUGAAAUGCGUAGAUAUCGAGAGGAACACCUGCGGCGAAGGCGGGUUGCUGGGCUGACACUGACGCUGAGGCGCGAAAGCCAGGGGAGCGAACGGG